AUUGAACGCUGGCGGCAUGCCUUACACAUGCAAGUCGAACGGCAGCGGGGACUUCGGUCCGCCGGCGAGUGGCGAACGGGUGAGUAAUGUAUCGGAACGUACCAUUGAGUCGGGGAUAACGUAGCGAAAGUUACGCCAAUACCGCAUCUUCUCUCCGGAGGAAACCAGGGGACCGCAAGGCCUUGCGGUCUUUGCGCGUCCGAUAUCAGAUUAGCUAGUUGGUGAGGUAAAGGCGCACCAAGGCGUCGAUCUGUAGCGGGUUCGAGAGGAUGAGCCGCCACACUGGAACUGAGACACGGUCCAGACUCCUACGGGAGGCAGCAGUGGGGAAUUUUGGACAAUGGGGGCAACCCUGAUCCAGCCAUGCCGCGUGAGUGAAGAAGGCCUUCGGGUUGUAAAGCUCUUUCGGCCGGGAAAAAAUCGCAUGGGCUAAUACCCUGUGUGGAUGAUGGUACCGGAAUAAGAAGCACCAGCUAACUACGUGCCAGCCGCCGCAGUAA
rnacentral:rRNA from 1 species